AGUAGUUGAUCCUGGCUCAGGAUGAACGCUAGCUACAGGCUUAACACAUGCAAGUCGAGGGGAAACGACAUCGAAAGCUUGCUUUUGAUGGGCGUCGACCGGCGCACGGGUGAGUAACGCGUAUCCAACCUGCCCACCACUUGGGGAUAACCUUGCGAAAGUAAGACUAAUACCCAAUGACGUCUCUAGAAGACAUCUGAAAGAGAUUAAAGAUUUAUCGGUGAUGGAUGGGGAUGCGUCUGAUUAGCUUGUUGGCGGGGUAACGGCCGCCAAGGCUACGAUCAGUAGGGGUUCUGAGAGGAAGGUCCCCCACAUUGGAACUGAGACACGGUCCAAACUCCUACGGGAGGCA
rnacentral:rRNA from 1 species